rnacentral:rRNA from 1 species
UGGGUAGGGGAGCGUCGUGUGCCGGGUGAAGCAACGCCGGAAGGUAGUUGUGGACGGUUCACGAGUGAGAAUGCAGGCAUGAGUAGCGAUACACACGUGGGAAACGUGUGCGCCGAUUGACUAAGGGUUCCUGGGUCAAGCUGAUCUGCCCAGGGUAAGUCGGGACCUAAGGCGAGGCCGACAGGCGUAGUCGAUGGACAACCGGUUGAUAUUCCGGUACCCGCUUUGAAGCGCCAAACAUCGAAUCCUCUGAUGCUAAGGCCGUGAAGCCGCCCUG